GCCCAGCGUGGUGGCCUGUGCCUGUAGUCCCAGCUACUCGGGAGGCUAAGGUGGAAGGAUCACUUGAGCCCAGGAGUUCUGGGCUGCACUGCGCUUUGCCCAUCGGGUGUCUGCACUAAGUUCAGCAUCAAUAUGGUGACCUCCUGGGAGUGGGGGACCACCAGGAUGCCUAAGGCGGGCUGAACCGGCCCAGGUCGGAAACAGAGCAGGUCCAAACUGCCAUGCAGAUCAGUAGUGGGAUCGCACCUGUGAAUAGCCACUGCACUCCAGCCUGGGCAACAUAGCGAGACCCUAUCUCU
ensembl:misc_RNA Metazoa_SRP Metazoan signal recognition particle RNA